rnacentral:rRNA from 1 species
UUGGGCUACGGGAGGCAGCAGUGGGGAAUAUUGCACAAUGGGGGGAACCCUGAUGCAGCGACGCCGCGUGAGUGAAGAAGUAUUUCGGUAUGUAAAGCUCUAUCAGCAGGGAAGAAAAUGACGGUACCUGACUAAGAAGCCCCGGCUAACUCCGUGCCAGCAGCCGCGGUAAUACGGAGGAUGCGAGCGUUAUCCGGAUUUAUUGGGUUUAAAGGGUGCGUAGGCGGAUUUUUAAGUCAGCGGUAAACUGUCCGGGCUCAACCCGGGC